rnacentral:rRNA from 1 species
UACCGUGAAACUGCGAAUGGCUCAUUAAAUCAGUUAUCGUUUAUUUGAUAGUACCUUACUACUUGGAUAACCGUGGUAAUUCUAGAGCUAAUACAUGCUAAAAACCUCGACUUCGGGAGGGGUGUAUUUAUUAGAUAAAAAACCAACGCCCUUCGGGGCUCUUUGGUGAUUCAUGAUAACUUAACGGAUCGCAUGGCCUUGCGCCGGCGACGGUUCAUUCAAAUUUCUGCCCUAUCAACUUUCGAUGGUAAGGUAUUGGCUUACCAUGGUUUCAACGGGUAACGGGGAAUUAGGGUUCGGUUCCGGAGAGGGAGCCUGAGAAACGGCUACCACAUCCAAGGAAGGCAGCAGGCGCGCAAAUUACCCAAUCCCGACAUGGGGAGGUAGUGACAAUAAAUACUGAUACAGGGCUCUUUUGGGUCUUGUAAUUGGAAUGAGUACAAUUUAAACCCCUUAACGAGGAACAAUUGGAGGGCAAGUCUGGUGCCAGCAGCCGCGGUAAUUCCAGCUCCAAUAGCGUAUAUUAAAGUUGUUGCAGUUAAAAAGCUCGUAGUUGAACCUUGGGCCUGGCUGGCCGGUCCGCCUCACCGCGUGUACUGGUCCGGCCGGGCCUUUCCUUCUGGAGAGCCGCAUGCCCUUCACUGGGUGUGUUGGGGAACCAGGACUUUUACUUUGAAAAAAUUAGAGUGUUCAAAGCAGGCCUUUGCUCGAAUACAUUAGCAUGGAAUAAUAGAAUAGGACGUGCGGUCCUAUUUUGUUGGUUUCUAGGACCGCCGUAAUGAUUAAUAGGGAUAGUCGGGGGCAUCAGUAUUCAAUUGUCAGAGGUGAAAUUCUUGGAUUUAUUGAAGACUAACUACUGCGAAAGCAUUUGCCAAGGAUGUUUUCAUUAAUCAGUGAACGAAAGUUAGGGGAUCGAAGACGAUCAGAUACCGUCGUAGUCUUAACCGUAAACUAUGCCGACUAGGGAUCGGGCGAUGUUACUAUUUUGACUCGCUCGGCACCUUACGAGAAAUCAAAGUCUUGGGUUCUGGGGGAGUUGUC